AGUGUGUUUAAUCUUCUGCUUGGUGUCAUGGUUCAGGUUAGGGUUAGGGUUUAAGGUCAGAGAAAAACUCCCUGAACCAAACAGUGAGAUGGUCCAGCCUCCUGAUUGGUCCCAGCCUGGUCCAGCCUCCUGAUUGGUCCCAGCCUGGUCCAGCCUCCUGAUUGGUCCCAGCCUGGUCCAGCCUCCUGAUUGGUUCCAGUCUGGUCCAGCCUCCUGAUUGGUCCCAGCCUGGUCCAGCCUCCUGAUUGGUCCCAGCCUGGUCCAGCCUCCUGAUUGGUCCCAGUCAGGUCCAGCCUCCUGAUUGGUCCCAGCCUGGUCCAGCCUCCUGAUUGGUCCCAGCCUGGUCCAGCCUCCUGAUUGGUCCCAGCCUGGUCCAGCCUCCUGAUUGGUCCCAGCCUGGUCCAGCCUCCUGAUUGGUCCCAGCCUGGUCCAGCCUCCUGAUUGGUCCCAGUCUGGUCCAGCCUUCUUGUCCACUAAACAGGUGCACAUGAUGGUUUUAUCAGUCCUUAAUAACGGUGAAAUUCAGCUUCUUCCUUCUGGACAGAGAUUUUUAGAUC